rfam:Drosophila willistoni strain TSC#14030-0811.24 1099000008619, whole genome shotgun sequence.
UCACAUUCAAGCUUGGGGAAAAUCAACGCCGCGGCUGAUUUUCUUUUUUAAUAAGCAGUUUGA